rnacentral:sRNA from 1 species
GCGUACAGCCCUCCUUGGGCGUUUCCUCCCUAGACUUGGGCCGCUUGCGCACUGCGUAAGCGGCCUCUUUCUUUUGCGCC